rnacentral:rRNA from 1 species
CAAUCGUGGCUACUACGCCACCUGGUGAAUAGCUCGGCUCGAGUGCCGACGAAGGACGUGCCAAGCUGCGAAAAGCUCGGGGAAGGCGCACGGAGCCUAAGAACCCGAGAUCUCCUAAUGGGAAUCCCUAUUACAGCCGCCUCGUGCGGUGGGGAACGCCCCGAACUGAAACAUCUCAGUAGGGGCAGGAAAAGAAAUCAAACCGAGACGUCGUGAGUAACCGCGAGUGAAACCGACAUAGUCCAAACCGAAGUCCGGGCGAGACGCGAGUCUCGCUGGAUGCCAACGAGCUUCGCUCGUUGAGCACCUUUCGGGCAAUGUGGUGUAUUGGACUGACACUCAUCCGGCGAACGGCGGGCUGAAGUCUCCUGGAACGGAGCGCGAAACAGGGUGAAAGCCCCGUAAGCCUACCCAACUAACCGGUGCGUCAGCUCCGGAGUACCAAGGGUUGGAAAUCCCUUGGAAAAACGGGAGACAUCGACUCCCAAGACUAAGUACUACUCGAGACCGAUAGCGCAAUAGUAGCGUGAGCAAAAGCUGGAAAGCACCCUUAGAAGGGAGGUGAGAUAGGGCUUGAAAUCAGGUGGUUAUGGAGCGACAGAGCACGCAAGGAGCUUCGCACCAAAAGAACCGUCCGCAAGGACGCAGUAUGAGGUGCGUCGCCGGUGUUCUGUCGUACGUUAUGAAAAACGAGCCAGGGAAUGUGUCUUUAUGGCGAGGUUAACACGUUCAGCGUGGGAGCCAUAGGGAAACCAACAUGGACGUAGCGUCUUUGACGUGUGGUUCGCCGUGUUCAAGCGCGGGAAGUCAUGAGGACACGACCCGAAACCGGGUGAUCUAUGCGUGGACAGGGUGAAGCGUGGCGAAAGCUACGUGGAAGCCCGAAGAGUUGGUGCCUUACAAAGCCCUCUCGUGAUCUACGUAUAGGGGUGAAAAGCCCAUCGAACCCGGCAACAGCUGGUUCCCACCAAAAAAUGUCUAAGCAUUACCUCUGCUGAGGUAGUGUGUGGGGUAGAGCAACCGAUUGGGGAAUACUCUCCCUAGCGGGAGAGGUCCCUUGUCGAACUCCGAACCCACACACGCCGUAGACGCAGGGAGUCCGGGCUACGGGGUAAGCUUGUAGUCCGCGAGGGAGACAACCCAGACGUAGGUUAAGGUCCCCAAGUACAGACUAAGUGCUAUUACACGAAGGAUGUCACAAGCCGUAGACAACCGGGAGGUCAGCUUAGAAGCAGCUACCCUCUAAGAAAAGCGUAACAGCUUACCGGUCGAGGUUUGUGGCUCCCAAAAUUAACGGGGCUCAAGUCUGUCACCGAUACCUACGGCAUUUUGCGAUAGGUGGGCACUCGGCGCGGGCGGAAGCACGGCUUUGAGGUCGUGUGGACCGCGUCGUGAAGAAAAUCCUGGCAAUAGUAGCAGCGUAGUCGGGUGAGAAUCCUGACCGCCGAAAGAGUUAGGUUUCCUUGGCAAUGUUCAUCAGCCAAGGGUUAGCCGGUCCUAAUCCCGUCCGUAAGUCGAGACGGGAGAAAGGGAAACGGGUUAAUAUUCCCGUGCCUGUCGUCACCAAAAGCCGACGCUUUGGGAUAGAAGGAGCGGGGCACUCGCCCCGUCCAAACGCUGAAACCCGUGGAGUGCCGUAAUGGCGAGAAGCGGGCGAAGCCGUAAGUGCGAAAGUCCUUCGAGUCCCGGAGCCCGUGAAAAGGCGAGACGACAGACCGUACCGAGAACCGACACAGGUAUCUCUGGCUGAGUAGGCCUAGGCGUGUCGGGACAACCGAGUUAAGGGAAAUCGGCAAGUUAGCCCCGUAAGUUCGCGAGAAGGGGUGUCUGCCUUUUACGAGGCAGAUCUCAGACAUCAGGAGGCUUCGACUGUCUAAUAAAAACAUAGGUGAUUGCUAAGCUGUAAAGCCUAGUACAAUCACUGAAUCCUGCUCAGUGCGGGUAUCUGAAAACCCUGUACAAAGGGGCGAAGGACCCGUUAACGGCGGGGGUAACUAUGACCCUCUUAAGGUAGCGUAGUACCUUGCCGCUUUAUUGGCGGCUCGCAUGAAUGGACGAACGAAAGCCUUACUGUCCCUAACUUGGUCCCGGUGAACUUUACGUUCCGGUGCGGAGUCCGGAGAUCCCCAGGGGGAAGCGAAGACCCUAUAGAGCUUUACUGCAGCCUGUCGUUGGGUCAUGGGCUCCUAUGUGCAGCAUAGGUAGGAGUCGUUACAGAGGUGCGUGCGCCAGCACGUCGCCCAGACAUCAUUGAAAUACUACCCGUAGGAGACUGUGACCCUCACUCCGGGAGGAGGACAUCAACAGGUGGGCAGUUUGACUGGGGCGGUACACGCUUGAAAAUGUAUCGAGCGUGCCCAAAGAUUGCCUCGUCCGGGUCAGGAACCCGGAGUAGAGUGUAAGAGCAAAAGGCAGUCUGACGCUGUUCUCAAGAAACGGAGGACGGCGAGCCGAAAGGCGGGUCUAGCGAACCUACCAGCCUGCUCGUUGCGGGCGGUAGAUGACGGAAAAGCUACCUUAGGGAUAACAGAGUCGUCACCGGCAAGAGUACAUAUCGACCCGGUGGCUUGCUACCUCGAUGUCGGUUCCGCCCAUCCUGGCGGUGCAGCAGCCGCCAAGGGUGAGGUUGUUCGCCUAUUAAAGGGCGUCGUGAGCUGGGUUUAGACCGUCGUGAGACAGGUCGGUUGCUAUCUACUGGGGAUGUCAGGAGCCUGACGGGAAGUUGCUAUCAGUACGAGAGGAACAUAGCAACGGCGCCACUGGUGUAUCGGUUGUCCGACAGGGCACUGCCGAGCAGCUACGCGCCACGGGUUAACGGCUGAAAGCAUCUAAGCCGGAAACCUACCUGAAAAAGAGGCUCCACUGAGGCGGCUCGUACAAGACGAGUUAGAUAGAGACGGGAUGUAAUCUCGAAGGCAACGACGAGUUCAGUCCGCGUCCACUAAACGCCAAGCCAUCCUUA